rnacentral:rRNA from 1 species
UACGUAGGUGGCAAGCGUUGUCCGGAUUUACUGGGCGUAAAGGGCGUGCAGGCGGUUUGUCUAGUCUAGGGUGAAAGCUCCCGGCUUAACUGGGAGAGGUCCUUGGAUACUGGCAAACUUGAGGGAGGCAGAGGAAAGUGGAAUUCCCGGUGUAGUGGUGAUAUGCGUAGAUAUCGGGAGGAACACCAGUGGCGAAGGCGGCUUUCUGGGCCUUACCUGACGCUGAGACGCGAAAGCGUGGGGAGCGAACGG